GGCUCAGAACGAACGCUAGCGGCGUGCUUAACACAUGCAAGUCGUACGAGAAAUUCCGAGCAAUCGGAAGAGUAAAGUGGCGCACGGGUGAGUAACGCGUGGGUAACUUGCCCUGGAGUCGGGAAUAACACCUCGAAAGGGGUGCUAAUAUCUGAUGGUGUCCGGGAGACUUCGGUUUUCCGGAUUAAAGGUGGCCUCUGCUUGCAAGCUACCGCUCCUGGAUGGGCCCGCGUACCAUUAGCUAGUUGGUGGGGUAACGGCCCACCAAGGCUGUGAUGGUUAGCUGGUCUUAGAGGACGACCAGUCACACUGGAACUGAGACACGGUCCAGACUCCUACGGGAGGCAGCAGUGAGGAAUCUUGCGCAAUGGGGGCAACCCUGACGCAGCAACGCCGCGUGAGUGAUGAAGGCCUUCGGGUCGUAAAGCUCUGUCAGAUGGGACGAAAAUCCCGGCGACGAAUAAUCGCCGGGAUUGACGGUACCGUUAGAGGAAGCACCGGCUAACUCCGUGCCAGCAGCCGCGGUAAUACGGAGGGUGCAAGCGUUGUUCGGAAUCAUUGGGCGUAAAGCGCGUGUAGGCGGUCGGGCAAGUCAGAUGUGAAAGCCCUUGGCUUAACCAAGGAAGUGCAUUUGAAACUGCCCGGCUUGAGUACGGGAGGGGGAAGUGGAAUUCCCGGUGUAGAGGUGAAAUUCGUAGAUAUCGGGAGGAACACCGGUGGCGAAGGCGGCUUCCUGGACCGAUACUGACGCUGAGACGCGAAAGCGUGGGGAGCAAACAGGAUUAGAUACCCUGGUAGUCCACGCUGUAAACUUUGGGCACUAGGUGUUGCGGGUAUUGACCCCUGCAGUGCCGAAGCUAACGCAUUAAGUGCCCCGCCUGGGGAGUACGGCCGCAA
rnacentral:rRNA from 1 species